rnacentral:misc_RNA from 1 species
GGCCAAUUCAAUUACUUAAGAUACUUAGUAAACCAAGCCAACAAGUCCCCGUGGGCUUCAUCUGCAGAUUUGACAGCCUCUUCAUCUUCCACAUUGUACCUCACAGUCCACCCAUGAGAAACCUUUGGAAAGAUCUUUACAAACCAGUCGACCUCAGGCUUUGCAGACAAGAUUUCUUCAAACUGUUUCAAGAGUUCUGGAGGAGACAUUUGAUCGAUCUCCGCUCCUAGUACCGAAAUGUGAGCUUUGACCCCUUUGAUGUC